GAGUUUGAUCAUGGCUCAGAUUGAACGCUGGCGGCAGGCUUAACACAUGCAAGUCGAGCGGUAACAGGCCUUCGGGUGCUGACGAGCGGCGAACGGGUGAGUAACGCGUAGGAAUCUGCCUGAUAGAGGGGGAUAGCCCGGGGAAACUCGGAUUAAUACCGCAUACGCCCUACGGGGGAAAGCAGGGGAUCUUCGGACCUUGCGCUAUCAGAUGAGCCUGCGUCGGAUUNGCUAGUUGGUAGGGUAAAGGCCUACCAAGGCGACGAUCCGUAACUGGUCUGAGAGGAUGAUCAGUCACACUGGAACUGAGACACGGUCCAGACUCCUACGGGAGGCNGCAGUGGGGAAUAUUGGACAAUGGGGGCAACCCUGAUCCAGCCAUGNNNNNUGUGUGAAGAAGGCCUUCGGGUUGUAAAGCACUUUAAGCAGGGAGGAAAGGGUGAAGGCUAAUAUCCUUCAUCAUUGACGUUACCUGCAGAAUAAGCACCGGCUAACUUCGUGCCAGCAGCCGCGGUAAUACGAAGGGUGCAAGCGUU
rnacentral:rRNA from 1 species